rnacentral:rRNA from 1 species
UACGGAGGGUGCAAGCGUUAAUCGGAAUUACUGGGCGUAAAGCGCACGUAGGUGGUUUUCUAAGUCAGCUGUGAAAUCCCCGGGCUCAACCUGGGACUUGCAGUUGAAACUGGAAAGCUAGAGUAGGGUAGAGGGGUGUGGAAUUCCCUGUGUAGCGGUGAAAUGCGUAGAGAUGGGGGAGAACACUCGUGGCGAAGGCGGCCAGCUAGACCAGUUCUGACACUGAGGCGCGACAGCGUGGGGAGCAAACAGG